GCCGGCGUAGCUUAAAUAAAGUAUGACACUGAAGAUGUUAUGAUGGACCCCUAAAAGUCCCGCAGGCA
rnacentral:tRNA from 1 species